rnacentral:lncRNA from 1 species
AAUACAUGUAUCAUAUUUAAGAGAAAACUAUUUUAUUUUUUAAAAGGUGUUAAUAAAAGAUCUCUCUCACACACACACACACGCGUGCGCGCACACACACACACACACACACACACACACAUGCUAGGAACAGCUGGUGAUGCUUCCCAGUCCAAAAAUCCAGCCAUGGUAGUUAGAAAUGGCAGGUGUCAGAGACAAGGCUCAUUUUUGUGCUGGGAAGAACACUGGGUGGCUCUAAUCUGGGUGACCACAUGAUUUCACAAAUAUUUCCAAAGGCCUUUUUCAGAUUAAUUUCACUUUCUAUAAAGAAAAACACAUAUAACCAGGUUUACAGAACAACUCAUUUAAAGCCAGUUAUUGGAGGGUUGAAUAAUUGGAUGCUCCCUCAUAUUUCACUGGCAUUGCAGUCAUAAAUUCCACCGAUUCUCCUGCCUGGACCAUCCAAGACUGGAGCCUCUUCCUUGUGACUGUCUAUGGUCCCGAUGACUUGACCUUUUUCUCUGAAAAGGACGUGGGGGCUUUAGAUAACCAUAUGUUUGCUUGGAGUCAAAAAUGAGUCAUGCCUUACAAGUGAGAACAGCUUGGCCCACACAUGCAGCAAUGUCCAAUUGGAGAAAGAGACCAACACAUGGAAAAUACGUUCACUUUACCCAAACUCGAUCAGGCGAGAGAUGAGGGUUUAUGGUCAUCUGAAAAAGAAUCUCUGUGGCAUUUUUUUGUGUGGCUUCCGAAACUCCAAACGAAAACCUUGACUAUUCCCAGCCAAAGUGUGAAGCCUAUCAGGAUGUGAUACUCCAUUACAGGUGUAGCCAAAGGAAGGCAAGUAGUAUGCUUUGUUUAACCAGAUAGAUUUGUCAAGGCAAAGUAGACAGUAAAUGCUGCAAUCCAAAAGCCAAGGCAAAUGGAAUGAUCAAGAACUAUCAGAGUCCUUCUUUCCCAGAAUUUUUCUCUUUCCCCGAAUAUUUAGAACGAGAGCAAGACAGUAAGUUUGAGACUACAUAAGCUGCCUCUCAUGCACCGUGCAUUUUCUUUUUUCCAAACUGAGGCGACAGUGAUGGUCUCUAACCCUUCAUCAUGUUGUAAUCACAGGAAGCACAGCUCUGUAUAAACAUUCCAGUUGAUUUUCAGAACAGCCCAUCCCGGGUGUCUAUAAAAUAGCUGUAAGGAAAUUCUUGCAAAUGAAUAACAAACAACUCCAGGUGUUCAAAUGAGGAACGUUCCCUAGAUGCUAAUGCCCAGACAAGCUCGGGUAGUUUUUCCAGGCAAAGUUGGUAUUUUUAGUUUAAGAAACCAAGAAAUAAAAAAUGAAGGUCUUGUUUACACUCCCCUCUUGGUUCUUUGCGAGAUCUUGAAAGGGGUGACUGCAGAGGCUGCAUUUUAGGGACCCUCGGCUCUUUGAGAACAACACUUUUCUCCCCGUUACAAAGCACUUGUUUGUAUUUAUCUCCAAAUGACACAGUGGCGGUUUAUUCAGUGACAAUCAAAAUCGCAGUUUCUGAAGGGUCCUGACUCCGGGGAGAGAGAGGUCUAUUGUUGUCCUCUGUCCACAUGCCUGACCGCUUUGAGAAAAAAUUA